UCACGCCUUACGGCGGCAGUUUCUUCAGAGUUCCCAGCAUUACCCGCUGGCAACAUUGGACAGGGGUUGCGCUCGUUGCGCCACUUAAGGCAACACCUCACGGCACGAGCUGACGACAGCCAUGCAGCACCUGUGCAGGCUCCCGAAGGAGCACCGGCUUUCACCGGUUUCACCCUGCAUGUCAAGCCCUGGUAAGGUUCUUCGCGUUGCGUCGAAUUAAGCCACAUGCUCCACCGCUUGUGCGGGCCCCCGCCAAUUCCUUUGAGUUUUAAUCUUGCGAUCGUAGUUCCCAGGCGGUUCACUUAAUGCGUUAGCUGCGGCACCGAGGCAAAGCCCCAACACCUAGUGAACAUCGUUUAUGGCCAAGACUAC
rnacentral:misc_RNA from 1 species